GAUGAACGCUGGCGGCGUGCCUAAUACAUGCAAGUCGAGCGAACAGAUAAGGAGCUUGCUCCUUUGACGUUAGCGGCGGACGGGUGAUUAACACGUGGGUAACCUACCUAUAAGACUGGGAUAACUUCGGGAAACCGGAGCUAAUACCGGAUAACAUUUGGAACCGCAUGGUUCUAAAGUGAAAGAUGGUUUUGCUAUCACUUAUAGAUGGACCCGCGCCGUAUUAGCUAGUUGGUAAGGUAACGGCUUACCAAGGCGACGAUACGUAGCCGACCUGAGAGGGUGAUCGGCCACACUGGAACUGAGACACGGUCCAGACUCCUACGGGAGGCAGCAGUAGGGAAUCUUCCGCAAUGGGCGAAAGCCUGACGGAGCAACGCCGCGUGAGUGAUGAAGGGUUUCGGCUCGUAAAACUCUGUUAUUAGGGAAGAACAAAUGUGUAAGUAACUGUGCACGUCUUGACGGUACCUAAUCAGAAAGCCACGGCUAACUACGUG
rnacentral:rRNA from 1 species